AUCUAGAUGACGAGUCUCAAAUAGGAUGAAACGCGCGUGUUGGAU
rnacentral:hammerhead_ribozyme from 1 species